CUCUCUCUCUCUCUCUCAAAUUCCCAAGAACCUAGAUCCAGAUUUUCUCUUUCUCUCUGUCUUUCUGUAUUCACCCUUAAAUAAAUGAAGAAGAACAUCGUUCCAUUUGGUGAUGUCGAUUCAAGCCUAAAUCGCCACAAUUUCUGCUCUUACAUCUUUCUCCUUGAUCUAGGGUCCAGACCAUAGACCAUUAAAGGAGGCCGACUAAACUAGGGUUUCGACUACUGAUCUAUUUCUGCACGUAUGUUCUUCAGACAAUCAAGGUUCUUUCAUUUUGAGUUCGUAUUUCCAGUGAUUUUGUGGUUUGGGGCACAGAUACAGUUUCUAAUUUUAGUUAGUGUAUUUUUAUUAGUUUUUAUUAUUUUCUUCAUGUGAUUGUUAUGUUUUGUAUUAGACUAUGAAUCUUUAUAGAUCAGUUUAGAAGUAGGGUUUUUUAUGUUUGUAUAACUGAUCACUACAAGGGUUUUGAUUUAGAUUAGUAAUCGUCCUUUUUUAAGUCAAUGGUUGUUUUAUUUUGAUUUUGUUUUGAACCCUAAGUUGAUUUACUCCCCAAUUUCUCACACACCACAGAUGGGUGCCCUUGAUAUAAAUACUUUUGUACAUAGAGGUACAUUAUCUGAUUUCAAAAAGAAGAUUGUGGCAACUGAAAAGGAAGCCAGUUUUUUUUUUUUUUAUCGAGCUAUUAAAGUAGAAAUGGAAGUUGAGAAGCUUAGGGAAGUAAAAGAUGUUCUUGUGGAUAAAGAUUAAAGAUUAC
rnacentral:lncRNA from 1 species